rnacentral:rRNA from 1 species
CUACACACGUGCUACAAUGGACAGAACAAAGGGCUGCGAGACCGCAAGGUUUAGCCAAUCCCACAAAUCUGUUCUCAGUUCGGAUCGCAGUCUGCAACUCGACUGCGUGAAGCUGGAAUCGCUAGUAAUCGCGGAUCAGCAUGCCGCGGUGAAUACGUUCCCGGGCCUUGUACACACCGCCCGUCACACCACGAGAGUUUGCAACACCCGAAGUCGGUGA